ensembl:lncRNA
AGUUAAUUAAGGGGAGGAGCCAAGAUGGCAGAGGAGUAGGACGGGGAGAACACUUUCUUCCCCACAAAUUCAUCAAAAGAGCAUUUAAACGUCGAGUAAAUUCCACAAAACAACUUCUGAAUGCCAGCAGAGGACAUCAGGCACCCAGAAAAGCAAUCCAACUCUUCGAAAGGAGGUAGGAAAAAAUAUUAAAGACAAAAAAAGAGACAAAAGAGGGAGGGACGGAGUUCCGUCCCGGGAAGGGAAUCUUAAAAAGAGAGAAGUUUCCAAACACCAGGAAACCUUCUCACUGCCGAAUCUGUGCCGAGCUUUGGAAGCACAGAGGGCAACAUAACAGGGAGAAAAAAUAAAUAAACAAUUAAAACUCGCAGAUUGCGAGCCCUACGGUAACUCCCCCAGCGGAGAAGC